rnacentral:lncRNA from 1 species
CCGUCUGUCGAAAUUUCCCGCACCCAAUCAUCUAUCUCAGUCUCUCCUCCUUCUCCCUUUCGCGUCCAGCUUUUCCACUAUUCACUCCACCUUCCAAAACCCCCCAUUUAUCCCCAAAACCCUCAAUCAGCGUAACGGAAAGUUCACCUGAGGUAUCCAUUGCUCAUCAACACUAACUGUCCGUUAUCAUUCGAGUCCAUUAACCCAUAAAUUUUGCAAUUCUAGGGUUUCCUUUGUGUUCCUUAAAAAACCCUAGUUUUUGUUUUCUUUUUAUUUUUUUCCUUUGGUAUAGGGAGGAGUUGGUGAAGCAGCGUUGAAGUAUUUGAUCUGAAUGGAGGCUGCGGCCGGUGUCGCCGCCACACGCGGCGGUUCUCUGCCGAUGCCUUCGUCCUCAUCGCGGAAGGAGUGGCGCGCCGUUUCAGAGCACCAUACGGGUCGAAACACUGGGGACGAGGUGGUAAUUUACUGCACAUGCGUUUGCAUUUGGUUUUUGUUUGGUUGAGAAGAGAAUGUAGUCUAAUGGUUGAAAUUGAUGCAUCAAAUCUGGGUUUUCUUUUAACGAUUGAGGACCGG